rnacentral:rRNA from 1 species
CACGUAGGGCGCAAGCGUUGUCCGGAAUUAUUGGGCGUAAAGAGCUCGUAGGUGGUUUGUUACGUCUGCUGUGAAAACCUAGGGCUUAACCCUGGGCUUGCAGUGGAUACGGGCAGACUAGAGGUAGGUAGGGGAGAAUGGAAUUCCUGGUGUAGCGGUGAAAUGCGCAGAUAUCAGGAGGAACACCGGUGGCGAAGGCGGUUCUCUGGGCAGUAACUGACGCUGAGGAGCGAAAGCGUGGGGAGCGAACAGG